AGAAUGACCUUGCACAGCUCCAAGCUUUGACUGACAAGUGGAGGACUGUCAGCCAAGAUGCUGCUGAAAAAUUGUUGAGAAAAAUUAAAGUAGAUCCUUUGCCCACAAUGAGCCAACUUCUGUCUAACUUACAAGUCAGCAAGGAACUAAUUCAAUACUCCGAAGAAGAUGAAGCAUUUUACUAAACUUUGCUAGAAGGUCAAAUACAAAAAGUAACUCCAAGGAGGCAGAACACUUGUUUAUGUAGAAGUUGAACCUGGAACAGCCCAGAUUAAGUCCACCUUGUGGUGAGAGCAGGACUCAAACACUGGAUUGCUAGAUUUCUACUCGGGAUCCAUGUGCACACGAACCAAAGUUUUUUUGUCGGGGUUUUGACCAUAGACUUUUGGAAGAUUGAGAAGAAUGCAGUAAGUGUAAUGAAAACAAUAAACACCUUCUAUACAAAAAUAUGUUUAUUUCUUGCUAGCAAUAAAAUUGGUAGAAUUCUGCUGAACAUCA